rnacentral:rRNA from 1 species
GACGAACGCUGGCGGCGUGCUUAACACAUGCAAGUCGAACGGAAAGGCCCUGCUUUUGUGGGGUGCUCGAGUUGCGAACGGGUGAGUUACCCUUGAGUACCCUGCCCUUGCCUUUGGGAUAACUUCAGGACACUUGGUCUCAUCCCGCCUAGGAGCUCCUGCUUCUUGGUGGGGGUUGGAUAGUUUCGGCGGUUGGGGAUGGACUCGCGGCUGAUCAGCUUGUUGGUGGGGUAGUGUCUUACCAAGGCUUUGACGGGUAGCCGGGCUGAGAGGGUAACCGGACCAAUUGGGAUUGGGAUAAGACACAGACUCGUACGGGAGGCAACGGUGGGGAAGAUAGUACAAGGGGCGGAAGCCUGAUGCAACAAAGCCGCGUGCGGGAUGACGGCCUUCGGGUUGUAAACCGCAUUCGCCUGUGACGAAGCGUGAGUGACGGUAAUGGGUAAAGAAGCACCGGCUAACUACGUG